rnacentral:rRNA from 1 species
UACGGGGGGGGCAAGCGUUGUUCGGAAUUACUGGGCGUAAAGGGCUCGUAGGUGGCCAACUAAGUCAGACGUGAAAUCCCUCAGCUUAACUGGGGAACUGCGUCUGAUACUGGAUGGCUUGAGAUUGGGAGAGGGAUGCGGAAUUCCAGGUGUAGCGGUGAAAUGCGUAGAUAUCUGGAGGAACACCAAUUGCGAAGGCAGCUCGCUGGGACGUUACUGACGCUGAGACGCGAAAGCGUGGGGAGCAAACAGG